rnacentral:rRNA from 1 species
UACGGAGGGUGCAAGCGUUAUCCGGAUUUACUGGGUUUAAAGGGUGCGUAGGCGGAUAUGUAAGUCAGUGGUGAAAUCUUCCCGCUUAACGGGAAAACUGCCGUUGAUACUAUAUAUCUUGAAUUGCUGUGGAGGUAAGCAGAAUAUGUCAUGUAGCGGUGAAAUGCUUAGAUAUGACAUAGAAUACCGAUUGCGAAGGCAGCUUACUACACAGAUAUUGACGCUCAUGCACGAAAGCGUGGGGAUCAAACAGG